GAUUAAGUUAUUAAGGGCGCACGGUGGAUGCCUUGGCACUAGAAGCCGAUGAAGGACGUUACUAACGACGAUAUGCUUUGGGGAGCUGUAAGUAAGCUUUGAUCCAGAGAUUUCCGAAUGGGGAAACCCAGCAUGAGUUAUGUCAUGUUAUCGAUAUGUGAAUACAUAGCAUAUCAGAAGGCACACCCGGAGAACUGAAACAUCUUAGUACCCGGAGGAAGAGAAAGAAAAUUCGAUUCCCUUAGUAGCGGCGAGCGAAACGGGAAGAGCCCAAACCAACAAGCUUGCUUGUUGGGGUUGUAGGACACUCUAUACGGAGUUACAAAGGACGACAUUAGACGAAUCAUCUGGAAAGAUGAAUCAAAGAAGGUAAUAAUCCUGUAGUCGAAAAUGUUGUCUCUCUUGAGUGGAUCCUGAGUACGACGGAGCACGUGAAAUUCCGUCGGAAUCUGGGAGGACCAUCUCCUAAGGCUAAAUACUCUCUAGUGACCGAUAGUGAACCAGUACCGUGAGGGAAAGGUGAAAAGCACCCCGGAAGGGGAGUGAAAUAGAACCUGAAACCGUGUGCUUACAAGUAGUCAGAGCCCGUUAAUGGGUGAUGGCGUGCCUUUUGUAGAAUGAACCGGCGAGUUACGAUUUGAUGCAAGGUUAAGCAGUAAAUGUGGAGCCGUAGCGAAAGCGAGUCUGAAUAGGGCGUUUAGUAUUUGGUCGUAGACCCGAAACCAGGUGAUCUACCCUUGGUCAGGUUGAAGUUCAGGUAACACUGAAUGGAGGACCGAACCGACUUACGUUGAAAAGUAAGCGGAUGAACUGAGGGUAGCGGAGAAAUUCCAAUCGAACCUGGAGAUAGCUGGUUCUCUCCGAAAUAGCUUUAGGGCUAGCCUCAAGUGAUGAUUAUUGGAGGUAGAGCACUGUUUGGACGAGGGGCCCCUCUCGGGUUACCGAAUUCAGACAAACUCCGAAUGCCAAUUAAUUUAACUUGGGAGUCAGAACAUGGGUGAUAAGGUCCGUGUUCGAAAGGGAAACAGCCCAGACCACCAGCUAAGGUCCCAAAAUAUAUGUUAAGUGGAAAAGGAUGUGGCGUUGCCCAGACAACUAGGAUGUUGGCUUAGAAGCAGCCAUCAUUUAAAGAGUGCGUAAUAGCUCACUAGUCGAGUGACACUGCGCCGAAAAUGUACCGGGGCUAAACAUAUUACCGAAGCUGUGGAUUGUCCUUUGGACAAUGGUAGGAGAGCGUUCUAAGGGCGUUGAAGCAUGAUCGUAAGGACAUGUGGAGCGCUUAGAAGUGAGAAUGCCGGUGUGAGUAGCGAAAGACGGGUGAGAAUCCCGUCCACCGAUUGACUAAGGUUUCCAGAGGAAGGCUCGUCCGCUCUGGGUUAGUCGGGUCCUAAGCUGAGGCCGACAGGCGUAGGCGAUGGAUAACAGGUUGAUAUUCCUGUACCACCUAUAAUCGUUUUAAUCGAUGGGGGGACGCAGUAGGAUAGGCGAAGCGUGCGAUUGGAUUGCACGUCUAAGCAGUAAGGCUGAGUAUUAGGCAAAUCCGGUACUCAUUAAGGCUGAGCUGUGAUGGGGAGAAGACAUUGUGUCUUCGAGUCGUUGAUUUCACACUGCCGAGAAAAGCCUCUAGAUAGAAAAUAGGUGCCCGUACCGCAAACCGACACAGGUAGUCAAGAUGAGAAUUCUAAGGUGAGCGAGCGAACUCUCGUUAAGGAACUCGGCAAAAUGACCCCGUAACUUCGGGAGAAGGGGUGCUCUUUAGGGUUAACGCCCAGAAGAGCCGCAGUGAAUAGGCCCAAGCGACUGUUUAUCAAAAACACAGGUCUCUGCUAAACCGUAAGGUGAUGUAUAGGGGCUGACGCCUGCCCGGUGCUGGAAGGUUAAGAGGAGUGGUUAGCUUCUGCGAAGCUACGAAUCGAAGCCCCAGUAAACGGCGGCCGUAACUAUAACGGUCCUAAGGUAGCGAAAUUCCUUGUCGGGUAAGUUCCGACCCGCACGAAAGGCGUAACGAUUUGGGCACUGUCUCAACGAGAGACUCGGUGAAAUCAUAGUACCUGUGAAGAUGCAGGUUACCCGCGACAGGACGGAAAGACCCCGUGGAGCUUUACUGUAGCCUGAUAUUGAAAUUCGGCACAGCUUGUACAGGAUAGGUAGGAGCCUUUGAAACGUGAGCGCUAGCUUACGUGGAGGCGCUGGUGGGAUACUACCCUAGCUGUGUUGGCUUUCUAACCCGCACCACUUAUCGUGGUGGGAGACAGUGUCAGGCGGGCAGUUUGACUGGGGCGGUCGCCUCCUAAAAGGUAACGGAGGCGCUCAAAGGUUCCCUCAGAAUGGUUGGAAAUCAUUCAUAGAGUGUAAAGGCAUAAGGGAGCUUGACUGCGAGACCUACAAGUCGAGCAGGGUCGAAAGACGGACUUAGUGAUCCGGUGGUUCCGCAUGGAAGGGCCAUCGCUCAACGGAUAAAAGCUACCCCGGGGAUAACAGGCUUAUCUCCCCCAAGAGUUCACAUCGACGGGGAGGUUUGGCACCUCGAUGUCGGCUCAUCGCAUCCUGGGGCUGUAGUCGGUCCCAAGGGUUGGGCUGUUCGCCCAUUAAAGCGGUACGCGAGCUGGGUUCAGAACGUCGUGAGACAGUUCGGUCCCUCUCCGUCGUGGGCGUAGGAAAUUUGAGAGGAGCUGUCCUUAGUACGAGAGGACCGGGAUGGACAUACCUCUGGUGUACCAGUUGUCGUGCCAACGGCAUAGCUGGGUAGCUAUGUGUGGACGGGAUAAGUGCUGAAAGCAUCUAAGCAUGAAGCCCCCCUCAAGAUGAGAUUUCCCAACUUCGGUUAUAAGAUCCCUCAAAGAUGAUGAGGUUAAUAGGUUCGAGGUGGAAGCAUGGUGACAUGUGGAGCUGACGAAUACUAAUCGAUCGAAGACUUAAUCAA
rnacentral:rRNA from 1 species